rnacentral:rRNA from 1 species
UACGGAGGGCGCGAGCGUUGUCCGGAAUCACUGGGCGUAAAGGGCGCGUAGGUGGCCUGUGGAAGUCUGCGGUGAAAGCCCGGCGCUCAACGCCGGGUCGGCCGUGGAUACUCUCGGGCUCGAGCUUACUAGAGGCAGAUGGAAUUCCGGGUGUAGCGGUGGAAUGCGUAGAGAUCCGGAAGAACACCGGUGGCGAAGGCGGUCUGCUGGGGUAAUGCUGACACUGAUGCGCGACAGCGGUGGGGAGCAAACAGG